rnacentral:rRNA from 1 species
GGCGGCAGGCCUAACACAUGCAAGUCGAGCGGUAGCACAGAGAGCUUGCUCUCGGGUGACGAGCGGCGGACGGGUGAGUAAUGUCUGGGAAACUGCCUGAUGGAGGGGGAUAACUACUGGAAACGGUAGCUAAUACCGCAUAAUGUCGCAAGACCAAAGUGGGGGACCUUCGGGCCUCAUGCCAUCAGAUGUGCCCAGAUGGGAUUAGCUAGUAGGUGGGGUAACGGCUCACCUAGGCGACGAUCCCUAGCUGGUCUGAGAGGAUGACCAGCCACACUGGAACUGAGACACGGUCCAGACUCCUACGGGAGGCAGCAGUGGGGAAUAUUGCACAAUGGGCGCAAGCCUGAUGCAGCCAUGCCGCGUGUGUGAAGAAGGCCUUCGGGUUGUAAAGCACUUUCAGCGGGGAGGAAGGCGGUGAGGUUAAUAACCUCACCGAUUGACGUUACCCGCAGAAGAAGCACCGGCUAACUCCGUGCCAGCAGCCGCGGUAAUACGGAGGGUGCAAGCGUUAAUCGGAAUUACUGGGCGUAAAGCGCACGCAGGCGGUCUGUCAAGUCGGAUGUGAAAUCCCCGGGCUCAACCUGGGAACUGCAUUCAAAACUGGCAGGCUAGAGUCUUGUAGAGGGGGGUAGAAUUCCAGGUGUAGCGGUGAAAUGCGUAGAGAUCUGGAGGAAUACCCGGUGGCGAAGGCGGCCCUCUGGACAAAGACUGACGCUCAGGUGCGAAAGCGUGGGGAGCAAACAGGAUUAGAUACCCUGGUAGUCCACGCCGUAAACGAUGUCGAUUUGGAGGUUGUGCCCUUGAGGCGUGGCUUCCGGAGCUAACGCGUUAAAUCGACCGCCUGGGGAGUACGGCCGCAAGGUUAAAACUCAAAUGAAUUGACGGGGGCCCGCACAAGCGGUGGAGCAUGUGGUUUAAUUCGAUGCAACGCGAAGAACCUUACCUGGUCUUGACAUCCACAGAACUUUCCAGAGAUGGAUUGGUGCCUUCGGGAACUGUGAGACAGGUGCUGCAUGGCUGUCGUCAGCUCGUGUUGUGAAAUGUUGGGUUAAGUCCCGCAACGAGCGCAACCCUUAUCCUUUGUUGCCAGCGGUUCGGCCGGGAACUCAAAGGAGACUGCCAGUGAUAAACUGGAGGAAGGUGGGGAUGACGUCAAGUCAUCAUGGCCCUUACGACCAGGGCUACACACGUGCUACAAUGGCAUAUACAAAGAGAAGCGACCUCGCGAGAGCAAGCGGACCUCAUAAAGUAUGUCGUAGUCCGGAUUGGAGUCUGCAACUCGACUCCAUGAAGUCGGAAUCGCUAGUAAUCGUAGAUCAGAAUGCUACGGUGAAUACGUUCCCGGGCCUUGUACACACCGCCCGUCACACCAUGGGAGUGGGUUGCAAAAGAAGUAGGUAGCUUAACCUUCGGGAGGGCGCUUACCACUUUGUGAUUCAUGACUGGGGUGAAAU